rnacentral:rRNA from 1 species
CAGUAGCCGCGGUAAUGCGAAGGGGGCUAGCGUUGCUCGGAAUCACUGGGCGUAAAGGGUGCGUAGGCGGGUCUUUAAGUCAGGGGUGAAAUCCUGGAGCUCAACUCCAGAACUGCCUUUGAUACUGAAGAUCUUGAGUUCGGGAGAGGUGAGUGGAACUGCGAGUGUAGAGGUGAAAUUCGUAGAUAUUCGCAAGAACACCAGUGGCGAAGGCGGCUCACUGGCCCGAUACUGACGCUGAGGCACGAAAGCGUGGGGAGCAAACAGGAUUAGAUACCCCCGUAGUCCCUGUCUCUUAUAC